GGCCAGACUCCUACGGGAGGCAGCAGUGGGGAAUAUUGCACAAUGGGGGAAACCCUGAUGCAGCGACGCCGCGUGGGUGAAGAAGUAUUUCGGUAUGUAAAGCCCUAUCAGCAGGGAAGAAAAAUGACGGUACCUGACUAAGAAGCACCGGCUAAAUACGUGCCAGCAGCCGCGGUAAUACGUAUGGUGCAAGCGUUAUCCGGAUUUACUGGGUGUAAAGGGAGCGCAGGCGGCACGCUAAGCCUGAUGUGAAAACCCGCGGCCCAACCGCGGGAGUGCAUUGGGAACUGGCGGGCUGGAGUACCGGAGGGGCAGGCGGAAUUCCUAGUGUAGCGGUGAAAUGCGUAGAUAUUAGGAGGAACACCAGUGGCGAAGGCGGCCUGCUGGACGGAGACUGACGCUGAGGCUCGAAAGCGUGGGGAGCAAACAGGAUUAGAUACCCUGGUAC
rnacentral:rRNA from 1 species